UUGUAUAUAUGCCAGAUAGAUGAUUGCACGAGGUAUUGGUGCGGUUCAAUGAGAAAGCGAUCAAGGGUAUUUCUUUACCCUACUUUUUGAUUGAGCCGUGCCAAUAUCACGUGUUAAUGGAGUUGGGACACUUUUGUGCCCCAUCACCAUUAUUCAGAUUUGGGACUUUGUAUAUAUGGAAAUGGUUUUUUUUUUUUUAAUCUUCAUUCUCCCCUGGUUGAGGAUGCCCUUACUGCACAAGUUCCUGGGGAGAAUCCUGAAUUUAAGAGUGACUUGAAGAUGAAGAUGUCUAGGAAUAGAGGGGCACAAGAAUCUACCAUAAACUGUGUUUCUUUUCCACUUUUGCACAUUAAUGGCAUAUAGUGUGAUAGAAAGUUUUGCUUUUUUUUUUUUCUUUGCCCCUCUCUGGGUCUCUGCAAUCUUCAAAAUGUGCACAUGAAGUAAAGGCAAAAGGUCUAUAGUAAAACCAAUACUACCCUGCAAAUCUAUAUGAUUUUCUUUU